rnacentral:rRNA from 1 species
UACGGAGGGGGCUAGCGUUGUUCGGAAUUACUGGGCGUAAAGCGCACGUAGGCGGCUUUGUAAGUUAGAGGUGAAAGCCCGGGGCUCAACCCCGGAAUUGCCUUUAAGACUGCAUCGCUUGAAUUGUGGAGAGGUGAGUGGAAUUCCGAGUGUAGAGGUGAAAUUCGUAGAUAUUCGCAAGAACACCAGUGGCGAAGGCGGCUCACUGGCCCGGUACUGACGCUGAGGUGCGAAAGCGUGGGGAGCAAACAGG